rnacentral:rRNA from 1 species
GGGGCGCAGCAGGCGCGAAAACUUUACAAUGCGGGAAACCGUGAUAAGGGGACACCGAGUGCCAGCAUCAUAUGUUGGCUGUCCAGAUGUGUGAAAUACAUCUGUUAGCAAGGGCCGGGCAAGACCGGUGCCAGCCGCCGCGGUAACACCGGCGGCCCGAGUGGUGAUCGUGAUUAUUGGGUCUAAAGGGUCCGUAGCCGGUUUGGUCAGUCCUCCGGGAAAUCUGACGGCUCAACCGUUAGGCUUUCGGUGGAUACUGCCAGACUUGGAACCGGGAGAGGUAAGAGGUACUACAGGGGUAGGAGUGAAAUCUUGUAAUCCCUGUGAGACCACCUGUGGCGAAGGCGUCUUACCAGAACGGGUUCGACGGUGAGGGACGAAAGCUGGGGGCACGAACCGGAUUAGAUACCCGGGUAGUCCCAGCCGUAAACGAUGCUCGCUAGGUGUCAGGCAUGGCGCGACCGUGUCUGGUGCCGCAGGGAAGCCGUGAAGCGAGCCACCUGGGAAGCACGGCCGCAAGGCUGAAACUUAAAGGAAUUGGCGGGGGAGCACAACAACGGGUGGAGCCUGCGGUUUAAUUGGACUCAACGCCGGACAACUCACCGGGGACGACAGCGAUAUGUAGGCCAGGCUAAAGACCUUGCCUGAAUCGCUGAGAGGAGGUGCAUGGCCGUCGCCAGUUCGUACUGUGAAGCAUCCUGUUAAGUCAGGCAACGAGCGAGACCCCCGC